UGGUCCUACGGGAGGCAGCAGUGGGGGAUAUUGCACAAUGGGGGAAACCCUGAUGCAGCGACGCCGCGUGAGUGAAGAAGUAUUUCGGUACGUAAAGCUCUAUCAGCAGGGAAGAAUAAUGACGGUACCUGACUAAGAAGCCCCGGCUAACUACGUGCCAGCAGCCGCGGUAAUACGUAGGUGGCAAGCGUUAUCCGGAUUUACUGGGUGUAAAGGGCGUGUAGGCGGGGAAGCAAGUCAGAUGCGAAAUUCCAGGGCUCAACCCUGGAACUGCAUUUGAAACUGUUUUUCUUGAGUGAUG
rnacentral:rRNA from 1 species